ACGGCGGACGGGUGAGUAACGCGUGGGUAACCUACCCUGUACACACGGAUAACAUACCGAAAGGUAUGCUAAUACGGGAUAAUAUAUUUGAGAGGCAUCUCUUAAUAUCAAAGGUGAGCCAGUACAGGAUGGACCCGCGUCUGAUUAGCUAGUUGGUAAGGUAACGGCUUACCAAGGCGACGAUCAGUAGCCGACCUGAGAGGGUGAUCGGCCACAUUGGAACUGAGACACGGUCCAA
rnacentral:rRNA from 1 species